rnacentral:rRNA from 1 species
CAUAUCAAUAAGCGGAGGAAAAGAAAAUAACAAUGAUUCCCCUAGUAACUGCGAGUGAAGAGGGACAAGCUCAAAUUUUAAAUCUAUCGGGUUUUACCUGAUCGAGUUGUAAUUUGAAGAAGCGUUUUCUGCGUAUUUGGUCAGCCUAAGUCCUAUUGAAUGAGGCAUCAUGGAGGGUGAUAAUCCCGUCCGGUUGAUCAUUUGCGUUUUACGAUACGCUUUCUAAGAGUCAAGUUGUUUGGGAUUGCAGCUUAAAAUGGGAGGUAAAUUUCUCCUAAGGCUAAACAACGGCGAGAGACCGAUAGCGAAC